UCUGUUUCCUGGCAACCAGCUCACUACUCCCUGAAGGGCACUUUCAAGAAAGUUCAAUCAAUGGAAGGGUCAAAUGUUUUCUUUUUCAAACGUCCAUUUUGCAUGUAAUGGCUGCUCCAUGCAGAGUUUACGGGUGUUCUCUUGUUCAUGAGAUCUAGCGUCCUUCUGCACAAAUGCAUGUGCUAUGGGUAAGAAAUUACUUCAACUGAGUUUAUUGGCAUUUCUUAGAGCAUAUGAGUUCAAAGAAAAUUAUUACAGGUCUUGGAAAAAUGGACUUCCACUUAACAGAAGGAAAUAUGGAGUCUUCAAGAAGUUAAGUCACAAACCUCAAGCUACAUAAGUCACUGGUCAGCUCUGUGGAUGAGCAGCUCUCCUGAGGGGCACUGUGUACCCUGGGGGCUCCCUCUGUGAGUGUGGAGGCAGUGCCACGGAUCCCUGGAGUCUUGGUGCUCUGGAGAGCUCUCUGUUUCUGACCAACGUGACGCAUUUUCUUUAAUUCCCAGUUGUCACACUGCAGACAUUCAUUCUCCUAUCUAUAGCCAUUGUUACUGGGCGUGCUAGAAAUAAUAAGCUGGAGGGAAUAGGGCAGCCUUUCAGAAGACAGACCCAUGAGAAAUAACCCCAAAUAGAAGCAGUGAGUUGCCAUUUCUCGCUCACUCAGCUGAUGUUCUGGAGCACUUCUCGUGUGCUAGACUCCAUGAGUGCUGGACGGGAGGGACACCAUAGGCGAAUCUGACCCAACCUGUCUAGCAUAGAACUGCAAAUAAGUAGAAAAGACUGUGUUAUGUUAACCUUGGCCAAGUUAACUUGGACCUUAGUUUCCUAAUGUAAAAGGAGGCUUGGGCCAGGUGGUUCCCUAAGAUGUGUUUUAAUUCUCUGAUUCAUAUUUAUAUGAAACUUUACCCUAAGUUCCUUAAAGAAAUCCUAAAGGACAGAGGGAUAUAAAAAGAAACAUAAACAUUUUAAAUGAUUUUAGAACAUCUUAAUUUCCUCUCCAUAA
rnacentral:lncRNA from 1 species